UGAUAUAGGAAACUAGGCAUUGAUAUAUGGUUAGAUACGUGGAAUACAUGAGUGGAGACAGUAGCUGUGAGACGUGGCAAGAGAAGAUUGGUCGAUGGGAGUGUUAGAGGAAGAAUCGAGAUGCAGAGAUAUAUAGCUAAUGAAGAUCAUUUGCAGAAGAUAAGAAGAUUUUGGAUUUGUUGUUUAUAGUUUCCUUUUGGAUUCUCUCUGAGAAUCGUUCCUCAUCGUUCGCCGGAGUUUCAUGUUGAACUCUUGUAGAUGAGAAGUUGAUAUCGCGUUUCAUGAACGUUGUAUCAAUCUGUCAUUUUCAUUAAUCGAAGCAUUCUAUUUCGUUACUCUGUUUUCCGUUAUCACUGGUAUCAGAGCCAAUCGUGUCCUCGGUGGAGAUCAAAGCUACUUGCACGAUGAAGAGUCGUCGGCGCAUAUCGUGGGAAGAGAUAAACGAGAGCUGGUUGAAUGGCUUAUGUGUGUUUUGCA
rnacentral:sRNA from 1 species